rnacentral:rRNA from 1 species
CAGUUAAUACAGCGGUAAUACGGGAUGUUCUGGCUGCCUCGCAUGGGGUGGUUUGGAAAGAUUCGGCCUGGUUUUGGUUGUUUUGGUGGGGGAUGGUCUCGCGGCUUAUCAGCUUGUUGGUGGGGUGAUGGCCUACCAAGGCGGUGACGGGUAGCCGGCCUGAGAGGGUGGACGGUCACACUGGGACUGAGACACGGGCCAGACUCCUGCGGGAGGCAGCAGAGGGGGAUUUUGCACAAUGGGCACAAGCCUGAUGCAGCGACGCCGCGUCACGGAUGGAGGC